AAUAACCCUAAUUUCUAUGCCCAACGUUUGACCGUCCGUCUUGUUUGAAAAAAAUAUGAAAAAAAUUAAAAAGACAAGUCAUGCAUAAAAUAUUAAUCAUAUUUUAUCUUCUAACAACAAUGAAAAUACGAAUUAUAAAAAAUUUUCAUAUAAGACGAACAGUCAAAGUUGGACACAGAAACUCAGGGUUUGUCUUUUU
rnacentral:pre_miRNA from 1 species